rnacentral:rRNA from 1 species
AUAUCAAUAAGCGGAGGAAAAGAAAAUAACAAUGAUUCCCUUAGUAACGGCGAGUGAAGGGGGAAAAGCUCAAAUUUUAAAUCGGCGUAGGUUUACCUAGUCGAGUUGUAAUUUGAAGAAGCGUUUUCUACGUCCAGGUCGGCCCAAAUCCUUUGGGAUAAGGUAUCAUGGAGGGUGAGAAUCCCGUCCGGUUGACCUCAGGAUGUUUUACGUGACGCUCUCUAAGAGUCGAGUUGUUUGGGACUGCAGCUCUAAGCGGGUGGUAAAUUCCAUCUAAAGCUAAAUAUUGGUGGGAGACCGAUAGCGCACAAGUA